GAUGAACGCUGGCGGCGUGCCUAAUACAUGCAAGUCGAGCGAAGCGGGGACGGGUGAGUAACACGUGGAUAACCUCCUAUAAGACUGGGAUAACUUCGGGAAACCGGAGCUAAACCGGAUACUAAUAGAUGGAUCCGCGCUGCAUUAUCUAGUUGGUAAGGUAACGGCUUACCAAGGCAACGAUGCAUAGCCGACCUGACAGGGUAGUCGGCGACACUGGAACAGAGACACGGUCCAAAGUGCUACGGAGGGCAGCAGUAGGGAAUCUUCCGCAAUGGGCGAAAGCCUGACGGAGCGACGCCGCGUGAGUGAUGAAGGUCUUCGGAUCGUAAAACGCUGUUAUUAGGUAAGCGGUACCUAAUCAGAAGGCCACGGCUAACUACGUGCCAGCAGCCGCGGUAAUAC
rnacentral:rRNA from 1 species